ensembl:lncRNA
GGUUUGUGGAAGGUCAGUUCCAGUCUUUGGCAUUGCAGAGUGCAGACAGUAAUGUCCAGCCUCUUGUCAGUUGCUCUACAUGGGAAGAGGACUGCAGCUCUGAGAAGGAGGUGGAGAGUUCCUGGCACCAUGUGGAGAAAUGCUGCCUGGAGAAGUACUUCAUCAUCUGGUCCACUCGAACUCAGCAACUCACAAAGGCCCAGCAGCACUGCAGGCUUCUUCAGCUGUCUCGAGCCUUUCUCAGAUGGCACCGCUGUGCUGUGGAGAACAAGAACCAAGAAGUAGCAGCAGCCCUUAAAUACCAAUUUAAUUGCUGCCGGAUGGCUUUCAGCUUGUGGAAGAAGAGACUGGCCCAGAAAGUGGAAGCUGACCAGAGAUUCAGGAGUCACCUCCACCAGAUGACUGCUGAUGCUCUUCGGCGUUGGCAUUCCUACUGUCAAAGGAAGUGUAACAUGAAGGAGCUGCAGCAGAGAUGGGCUCAGCAUAGCUGCCAGGAGAAGAAGAGAUUGAUCCUGCAGACGUGGCGCUGCCAAACAAGGCAGCUGAAAAACGCUGCUUUAUUCUGGGAGCGUCUCCUCCUGCACAGGUGUAUAGUCAUCUGGGCCCAGGUCACUGCCUGCUCACUGAGGCAGCAAGAAGCCCUCUGUUAUUUUAGAAGGAUCAGAGAGAACCAUCUUCUGAAAGUGAGUUUUGCAGAAUGGAGAGUGAAGUUCUUGACAGCUAAACAGCAGUUGCUGGAAGAAGAGAAAAACCAGACGUGGCGUGGAUGUUCUCAAGCUAAAGCCUGUCAGCGCUGGCGAUUGGCCUCAAGGGGACAGCAAGCCCUACACUUGGGAUCCGUGGCCACUGUGAAACAGGCCUGCAACUAUUGGACAAAAGCAGCUGCCUUUUCCCAGUGCUCACGGCAAUGCAGCACCCUGAUAGGCGCUAGGAAGAGCAAGAAGAUGUCGUUGUCUUUGUCCAUGAAAAGGAGAGGAUGCAGAGAGAAAGGUUCAGCUCCAGCUGCAUCCCUUGGGUUUUUUCCCAGUGCUGUUCACCGCUGGCUGGUGAUCUACAGAAGCCAAAGGAGGACUGAAAGGCUGCUGCUCCCUCAACAGCUAGAGGGGCAUGAUUUGGUAGGACCUGUCCCUGGGCAUGCCAGGAUCCAGGAGGACAAAGCAGAGGUGGACUCUGAUGAGUGGAAUGACAAUUGGCUUGGGAGGAAGUAUCUGAGGUGGUGGCAUCACACGGUGACGCUGCGCCGGUGCCAGCGUGCCAGGAGGCUGCACAGUCUGGCAAGGGGUUGGCAGCAGUGGAAAGAAGCCAGCAGGGUGGUGAUGCUGGCACAGAUGUUGGACCAGCAGCGGCUGAUAGAAAAGGCCUGGAGAGCAUGGAGACGUCGGUAUUUACAAAGCUGUGUAGUGCAGAGGUUUUUGGAGGUUGAAGCCAGGAGCCUAUUGUCUGAGGCAUUUGGAAGAUGGCGUCAGCUCACAGCGUUCCAACUCAAGGACAGAGGACACUGCUGAAUGGUGGGCAGCUGCCUGCAGCUGCUUAUUUUGGGAGUGGAGGAUACAGCUGGCAGUCACAACAAAGAGCUGGUCUCUUGCAAUCAAGAAAGCAGUGCAUGAUCUACCUGUGUGAUUAAAAACAGUGCUGCAGGCCCAAAGCAUGGUGAUAGCCAAAGGCCAACCAGGAGGAAGGGGAAGCCAGAGAAAGGUCUUAUUUAAAGGACUGAUAUUCUGCCUCCCUACUGCCACAAACUUGAGAACUUACUUAAUGGCUUUUGUUGUGAGGUUGCAUUCCCUUUUCUGCUAGAGUCUGAUUUUGUUGGAGUUCUGAUUAAAAGCCCUAUAAAGUAUUUUUUGACGUCCCCUAACUAAUUU